rnacentral:tRNA from 1 species
ACCUGGGUGGCUCAGUUAGUUAAGCAUCUGACUUUGGCUCAGGUCAUGAUCUCACAGCUUGUGAGUUCGAGUCCCACAUCAGGUG